UUCCUAUGCGAAUCUUGGUGUGAAUUGCAGAAUUCAGCUGGAUCAUCGAAAUCUUUGAACGCGCCUUGCGCUCCUUGGUAUUCCGAGGAGCAUGCCUGUUUGAGUGUCAUGAAAUCUUCAACCUGCAAGCUUUUAUGGUUUGUAGGCUUGGACUUGGAGGGUUGUCGGCCGUUGUUGGUCGGCUCCUCUUAAAUGCAUUAGCUUGGUUCCCUUGCGGAUCGGCUCUCAGUGUGAUAAUGUCUACGCUGCGACCGUGAAGUAUUUGGCGAGCUUCUAACCGUCUCAGUUGGAGACAACUUUAUGACCUCUGACCUCACAUACAAGACGAAAUCAGGACUACCCGCUGAACUUAAGCAUAUCAAUAAGCGGAGGAA
rnacentral:rRNA from 2 species